rnacentral:rRNA from 1 species
UACAGAGGUGGCAAGCGUUGUUCGGAAUUACUGGGCGUAAAGGGCGCGUAGGCGGCCUUCUAAGUCAGACGUGAAAUCCCCAGGCUUAACUUGGGAACUGCGUCUGAUACUGGGAGGCUUGAGUUUGGGAGAGGGACGCGGAAUUCCAGGUGUAGCGGUGAAAUGCGUAGAUAUCUGGAGGAACACCGGUGGCGAAGGCGGCGUCCUGGACCAACACUGACACUGAGGAGCGAAAGCCAGGGGAGCAAACGGG